rnacentral:lncRNA from 1 species
GUUGGGCGGGCGAGCUUCUGACUGAGGGACAGAGGCUAGGAGCGAGAAACUGUUUUUGGUCCCAGCAGGUCUUUUAGUACGUUCGUGCAGCAGAUUUCAAGACUAAGAGAGAAAGACUGCCUCAUCCCUGCAGGAAGAAAAAA